rnacentral:rRNA from 1 species
UACGGGGGGGGCAAGCGUUGUUCGGAAUUACUGGGCGUAAAGGGCUCGUAGGCGGCCAACUAAGUCAGACGUGAAAUCCCUCGGCUUAACCGGGGAACUGCGUCUGAUACUGGAUGGCUUGAGUUUGGGAGAGGGAUGCGGAAUUCCAGGUGUAGCGGUGAAAUGCGUAGAUAUCUGGAGGAACACCGGUGGCGAAGGCGGCAUCCUGGACCAACACUGACGCUGAGUGGGCGAAAGCCAGGGGAGCAAACGGG